rnacentral:rRNA from 1 species
AAGUAGCGAGAGUUAAGUGAGAAUCUUAACGGUCGAAAACCUAAGGUUUCCUGAGGAAGGCUCGUCCUCUCAGGGUUAGUCGGGRCCUAAGCCGAGGCCGAAAGGCGUAGGUGAUGGACAAUCGGUUGAUAUUCCGAUACCACCAAUGGACGUUAUUAGAAAUGGGAUGACGCAGGAGGAUAAGAUGUGCACACUAUUGGAUGUGUGUCUAAGCAUUUAGGCGGAGCAAGCAGGCAAAUCCGUUUGCUCUUAACGCUGAGRUGUUAUGGGGAAGGGAAUUUAUUCCUGAAGUAUCUGAUUCCACGCUGCCAAGAAAAGUCUCUAUCGAGGAUAUUGGUGCCCGUACCGCAAACCGACACAGGUAGGUGAGGAGAGAAUCCUAAGACCAUCGGAAGAAUUGCUGUUAAGGAACUCGGCAAAUUGACCCCGUAACUUCGGGAGAAGGGGUGCCUACGMAAGUAGGUCGCAGAGAAUAGGCCCAAGCAACUGUUUAGCAAAAACACAGGUCUC